rnacentral:lncRNA from 1 species
ACCUACUUAAUUUGGUUUUAAUUUAAUCAAUUGAUUUGUUUUACUAUUGGAUGAUUUUAUUUAUUCAACUUAGAUCAUAUUUAGUUAAUUUGAGUUAUAUUUUUUUAUUAUUUUAUUUAAUUGUUGGGAAAAGUAUUAUAAACUUAUUUUAAAAAUUAAUGAUUGGUCCUUGUGUUAUUUUCAAUUACUAAGUCUUUAUUAAACAAAAUUUCACUGGUAAGAUAUGGAAGUAUAAAUAUCAAGUUGAAGACUUCAG